rnacentral:tRNA from 1 species
GGUAUGUGGUGGAGUGGUGCGACAUCUGCUUCGCACGCAGAAUGUCCCGGGUUCGAUCCCCGGC